rnacentral:rRNA from 1 species
AUACGGAGGGUGCAAGCGUUACUGGGAAUCACUGGGCGUAAAGCGCGCGCAGGCGGGCUGAUAAGUUGGAUGUGAAAGCCUACGGCUCAACCGUAGAACUGCAUCCAAAACUAUUAGACUAGAGUGUGGGAGAGGAAGAUGGAAUUAGUUGUGUAGGGGUAAAAUCCGUAGAGAUAACUAGGAAUACCAAAAGCGAAGGCAAUCUUCUGGAACACUACUGACGCUGAGGCGCGAAAGCGUGGGGAGCAAACAGGAUUAGAUACCCCAGUAGUCC